rnacentral:rRNA from 1 species
AUUGAACGCUGGCGGCAGGCCUAACACAUGCAAGUCGAGCGAGCGGCGGACGGGUGAGUAAUGUCUGGGAAACUGCCUGAUGGAGGGGGAUAACUACUGGAAACGGUAGCUAAUACCGCAUACCAUCAGAUGUGCCCAGAGGGGAUUAGCUAGUAGGUGGGGUAAUGGCUCACCUAGGCGACGAUCCCUAGCUGGUCUGAGAGGAUGACCAGCCACACGCGCAAUGUGACACGCUCCAGAGUCCUACGGGAGGCAGCGGUGGGGAAUAUUGCACAAUGGGCGCAAGCCUGUGGCGCCCCUGCGGCGUGUGUGAAGAAGGCCUUCGGGUUGUAAAGCACUUUCAGCGGGGAGGCGUUACCCGCAGAAGAAGCACCGGCUAACUCCGUGCCAGCAGCCGCGGUAAUUC